UACGUAGGGUGCAAGCGUUGUCCGGAAUUAUUGGGCGUAAAGAGCUUGUAGGCGGUCUGUCGCGUCGAAUGUGAAAACCCGGGGCUCAACCCCGGGCCUGCAUUCGAUACGGGCAGACUAGAGUUCGGUAGGGGAGUCUGGAAUUCCUGGUGUAGCGGUGAAAUGCGCAGAUAUCAGGAGGAACACCGGUGGCGAAGGCGGGACUCUGGGCCGAUACUGACGCUGAGGAGCGAAAGCGUGGGGAGCAAACAGG
rnacentral:rRNA from 1 species